rnacentral:lncRNA from 1 species
GAGGACUUUGAAAUACACGAUACGAGGUCAAAUGUGCCUUCAGAGUUGCAGUUUCUGAGACUUGGGGAGCGAACGCGGUCCAAAUGAUGACCGUGACACUGUCAGACCAGAUCGAGUCCGCCGCCAAACUCCGCUUCUGGUUUUCCAAACGACACCUGCUCACCGACAAAUUCAAUUAAGGACUCCUCUUCCCACUUGGAGCCGGUCUCCAGGGCAGAUCUUCCGGGCGACUCACUCUCAGAGAAAUUAAAAAUUUUGCUCAAAUUAACCAGAAAAACUGAAAAAAAAAAAAUGUGCUAACUUUAGUAAUGAACGCUCUGCUCCGUCCACCGCAAACACCCGCGUCUCUUUACUUGGAAGCGACGGGGAAGUAGCGCAGAUCAUUCAUGGAAAGCCAUCUUCCAUAUUAAAAAUGCCACUGACGCUACAAGACGAGGUAAACAUCCACGUAUUGUUUCUCCUUUUCACGGCUUUUGUUUCCCUCAUUGAUCUUUUUUUAUUAUUAUUUUCAUCACACAAAUCCGUCUUUGAUUUGGUAAUUGACUAACGU